rnacentral:rRNA from 1 species
UACAGAGGUCUCAAGCGUUGUUCGGAUUCAUUGGGCGUAAAGGGUGCGUAGGCGGCGCGGUAAGUCGGGUGUGAAAUUUCGGAGCUUAACUCCGAAACUGCAUUCGAUACUGCCGUGCUUGAGGACUGGAGAGGAGACUGGAAUUUACGGUGUAGCGGUGAAAUGCGUAGAUAUCGUAAGGAAGACCAGUGGCGAAGGCGGGUCUCUGGACAGUUCCUGACGCUGAGGCACGAAGGCCAGGGGAGCAAACGGA